rnacentral:rRNA from 1 species
UGGGGAAUAUUGGACAAUGGGCGAAAGCCUGAUCCAGCAAUGCCGCGUGAGUGAAGAAGGCCUUCGGGUUGUAAAGCUCUUUUACCCGGGAAGAUAAUGACUGUACCGGGAGAAUAAGCUCCGGCUAACUCCGUGCCAGCAGCCGCGGUAAUACGGAGGGAGCUAGCGUUGUUCGGAAUUACUGGGCGUAAAGCGUACGUAGGCGGCUUUGUAAGUCAGAGGUGAAAGCCCACGACUCAAUCGUGGAACUGCCUUUGAGACUGCUUCGCUUGAAGAUGGGAGAGGUUAGUGGAAUUCCGAGUGUAGAGGUGAAAUUCGUAGAUAUUCGGAAGAACACCAGUGGCGAAGGCGGCUAACUGGACCAUUCUUGACGCUGAGGUACGAAAGCGUGGGGAGCAAACAGG